GUGUCAGCAGCCGCGGUAAUACAGAGGGUGCGAGCGUUGUCCGGAAUCACUGGGCGUAAAGGGCGCGUAGGCGGCCUGAUAAGUCGGGGGUGAAAUCCUGUGGCUUAACCACAGGGCUGCCUCCGAGACUGUCGGGCUCGAGCACAGUAGAGGCAGGUGGAAUUCCCGGUGUAGCGGUGGAAUGCGUAGAGAUCGGGAAGAACAUCGGUGGCGAAGGCGGCCUGCUGGGCUGUUGCUGACGCUGAGGCGCGACAGCGUGGGGAGCAAACAGGAUUAGAUACCCGGGUAGUCC
rnacentral:rRNA from 1 species